rnacentral:rRNA from 1 species
GACGAACGCUGGCGGCGCGCCUAACACAUGCAAGUCGAACGAGAGAUGAAGAGCUUGCUCUUCAGAUCGAGUGGCGAACGGGUGAGUAACGCGUGAGGAACCUGCCCUCAAAAGAGGGGGACAACAGUUGGAAACGACUGCUAAUACCGCAUAAGCCCACGGGUCGGCAUCGACCAGAGGGAAAAGGAGCAAUCCGCUUUGAGAUGGCCUCGCGUCCGAUUAGCUAGUUGGUGAGGUAAUGGCCCACCAAGGCGACGAUCGGUAGCCGGACUGAGAGGUUGAACGGCCACAUUGGGGACUGAGACACGGCCCAGACUCCUACGGGAGGCAGCAGUUGGGGAAUAUUGCACCAAUGGGGGAAACCCGUGAUGCAGCGACGCCGCGUGGAGGAAGAAGGUCUUCGGAUUGUAAACUACCUGUU